rnacentral:lncRNA from 1 species
AGUACAUGAACAAUUUUCUAAAGGAAACCAAAUAGGUACAACAACUGUCCGGAGUACAAUUGGACAGAAGGUAAAUAAAAUUCUGAAACAGACUAUACUAGCUGCGGAAUCACCUCGAAGAAAUACAGUUCACCUAGUCUCUGCGCCCGUCAUGCCGCUAAGCCACGAUCCACACAAUAAACCUAUGCAACAAAAUGCACAGCAAAUGUAGUAUGAGUACAAAAAUAACGUGUACCAAUGAGUGUCUCGCCUAAUCCCGAAGGGGUAGAGACGAGAUGGUCAACUCUGACACUCACUAGCAGUCCAAUGACUAUUUAUCUUUAAUAAAUAUAUUCAAACAAUAGAUUUGUUUUAUAAACUUGAUUCUAAUCUAGAUAUGGCAAAACAAGUAGUCAUAUAAUUCUUUCAUGAAAAUUUUUUCUAAAUUUCUUGUUAUUAUUAAUAAAAUGAUCUCAAGCCAUAAUGUGGCAUAAAACAACGCAAAUGAGUUCAAGACAACGGUACAAACAUGCGCAAAUCAUGCCGAGGUCAAUGCUCCGCUCCAACAGAAAUGUAAAGUGUGCACUGCCGAGGGUUGAGCGGCCCGUCCAUAGUGCAUCCAUUUCACCGAGGCGAUUGGCCCGUUCAAAAAAUAAACACAUACCAUGGUCGCAUCAUGCAUGCGACGCAGGUACACAUAUUAAUACAUGGUCAAUCAAUAAAAAAAGAGCCUAUCGGGGAAUAUUUAUUCAAAUAAAACCAAUUCUCCUUUAACAAAUUUUUUUAAGAAAUGAAGUCAAAUCCCUUUGAAUUUCAUCUACUAAUUUAAUGUGAUUUAGGCAAUUCAAGUCAUCAAUUGGGUUCACAAUUUAUUCAAGUAUGACAUGCUUUUGGGUCCUAGACUAUCCGGGCAAUAGCAUAUUAGCUGCUACGCACGGACUCUCGUCACCUCGUGCGUACGUAGCUCCCACAAAUAGGUGCACAUAAUCAAUUUAACUUACCUAUGGAGUAAUUUCCCCUCACAGGAUUAUAAAGGAGACUUACCUCGCCUGAAGAUCCAUAACCGUCCCUCUGCAUCCUUCCGAAAGCUCGAACUAACGCGAAAAUGCUCCCAAACUAGACAAUGGUCAUUAAAACUCAUUAAUAUAUGCUUAAUUAAACUCUACAACUCAAUUUGUAUAAAUUCUUAAUCUCGAACGAAAAUUUGUCAAAAAUGCCCACGGGUCCACGUGCCCGGAAUCCAAAAUUUUUGGAAAAUAAACUUUUCUCAUGACCUUAGGAACUCAAAUAUAUAAUUUUCUCUUAAUUUGCUACUCAAAAUCGUGCUCAAAAUCCAAGAAUAUAAUUUUCUAGGUUUCCACCAAAACCUCAAUUUUUAUACUAAUUUUCACGCUCAAAUCCACACAAAAUUGAUGUAGUUAAUCCAUACUAGGUGGGGAUAACAUACCUCAUCAUUGAUGACAAAAAUCUCUUCUUGAAGCUCUCCAAAAUCGCCCCAAUCUAAGAAAAUGUGAGAGAAAUGAGCCAAAAUCCGAUUUUUAAAAUAACCCCUCUGCCCCAGCUCUUUCCGCUUCUGCGGAAUUGUUUCCGCCUAUGCGGUUCCACUAUUGCGGUCAAAAAUGCCGCUUCUGUGGUCCUGGGCUCAAGCCCCUAUUCCGCUUCUGCGACUCGCCAACCGCAGGUACGGUUCCACCUAUGCGGCUCCCCGACCGCAUCUGCAGUCCACUUCCUUAUUGGCCAAAACCGCUUCUGCGGUCCAAAUUUCGCCUUUGCGGGGCCGCUUCUGUGGUCCUAUUUUCGCAGAAGCAGAAAUACCAGAUACCAGCUCCCAAGCUUUUCCAAUAAUCUAACUUUCAAUCUGUUAACCACCCGGAAUCCACCCGAGGCCCCCGGGAUCCCAACCAAUCCCAAAAUACGUUACAGACUUGCUCGAGGCCCCAAAUCACAUCAAACAACAUCGAAAUCAUGAAUCACACUCCAAUUCUAGCUUUAUGAACUUUGAAAUUUUAAACUUUUACAUUCGAUGUCGAAACCCAUCAAAUCACAUCCGAUUGACCUCAAAUUUUGCACGCAAGUCAUAUUAAACAUUACGGACCUAUUCCAACUUCCAAGAUUGGAUUCCAACCCCAAUACCAAAAAGUCAUUUUCCAGUCAAACUUCUCAAAAACCUUCAAAUUUCUAUCUUUAGCCAAAUGGCUUCAAAAUGACCUNNNNNNNNNNNNNNNNNNNNNNNNNNNNNNNNNNNNNNNNNNNNNNNNNNNNNNNNNNNNNNNNNNNNNNNNNNNNNNNNNNNNNNNNCAAAUGGCUUCAAAAUGACCUACGGACCUCCGAAUUCACUUUUGAUCGCGCUCCCAACUCCAGAAUCCCCAUACGGAUCUACUCCCAGUAUCGGAAUCCCAAACUGACAUCAAUAACACUGAAACACACUUUAUGUCAAACUUAAGGAAUUUCUUCCUAAAUACUAACUUCCACAGGCACCAAAACGCUCCCAGGUUAUCCAAAACCCGAGCCGGGCAUACGCCCAAGUACGAUAUCAUUAUACGAACCUGCUGGAAACCUUUAGAUCCUGAUUCCGAGGUCGUUUAAUCAAAAUCUAAUCCUAGUUCAUUCUUUCAACUUUAGGCUUCUCAAAUGAGAAUUUUUACUUAAAUUAUAUUCUAAUCAUUUUGAAUUCCAAUUCUGACCAUGCGAACAAGUCACAAUACCUGAAAUUGAGCUGCUCAUGGCCUCAGACUGUUGAACGAUGCACUAAGGCUCAAAAUGACCGGUUGGAUCGUUAUAUUCUCUCCCACUUAAACAUAUGUUCGUCCUGAACGUGCUAAGAACUAUACCGAAGUAGUAUGAAAUCACCGUUUGGCAUCUUAUGCCCCCUUUCGUGCUACCACAACUUAGCUAAGCACAUUAGCUCAAUAUAUAUUGAAAAUAUUCCCUUUUAUUCAAGCAAAUAGGCCUUAGAGCUCAAUUCCAGCAUCUGGAAUUCUGUGCCAGGCCUAUUUUCAUCAAGAGUUCACCAAAUCAUUCACCACACGCCGUCCUCAAACAUGACUGCAUAACUUUGCUGGAUUCUUACUUUGCAACACAAAAUCCACAGGACCAUGAUAAUAUUUUUAUGAUCAAUUUGGCCAAAAUUAAAUGAAUCAGAUGCUCCCACUGCACCUCAUGACCUACAUAGGUCUUGUUCUAACUUUUACAACACUGACACGAUGGAAGAGAUGUGCCGAAAUUCAUAACCAACUGCUGAAUCAAUAAAUUAUUGGGUCUAUACCACUGACAAGAACCAUUACUACAUUCUAAACAAAAUAAGGAUCUCUCCUCUUUAAUAUACUUCAUGUACUCAGAUUCGAAAUUCAUAACCAACUGCUAAAUCAACAAAUCAUUGGGUCUAUACCUCUGACCCAUUACCAUAUUCUGAACCAAAUAAGGAUCUCUGCUCUUUAAUAUACUUCAUGUGCUCAGAUUGCACUUAUCCUAAAUUUCAUAAUCUUAUCUCACCCAUUACGAACUACUCAGGCAAUAAGCCACCUCGGACACAAUCAAAAGUCCCGUAUAAUGCCACCAUGUGCCAAUAGGCUACCGGUUAGGAUAUGAUACAAGAUGAAUACGAACUCUGAAAUGGAAAUCUAAUUACCCCGCCCGUGAAUCAUACGUGCGACGCGGGCUAACAACUUAAACGAGUUUUCCUCAAAAAAAUGGGAAACCGAACACAUAAAAGAAAUAAGGGGAAAUUGUACUGAACAUCAUACUGUUGUGGCGUGCAACCCGAUCCAAAUAGCAUAACCAUGGCGGCGUGCCACCCUAUCCAAGUAGCAUAUCCAUGGCGGUGUGCCACCCGAUCAACCUACUGGCUCGCAUAUGGAGAUUCUCAUUGAGCUAAAUAGCUCAUCACAUCAAAAUAUCGAAUAUUGGUUGUAGACAACAAAGGUGUAUAAUACCAUCCCUGAGGAACCAUAUAGCGCUAUAGGCUACAAACCUAAAGCACAACUGACGUGCAAUGCAUGAUCCGAAUCUCAAGAGUCAUCCUGCUCAUAUAACAUCACCGCUACGCGGAACCUCAACACAUAAGAAAUUUACCAAGCCGUUUCACAACCCAUACGGUGCAAUACAACAUUAUCUGAAAUAGCUGAUGACAAAAUAACACCCCGACUGUUCCUCCAUAGGGAACGCUUGCUGAAAUGAACACAAUUGGCCGGAUAUAAAGACUUGUCCACAAAUAAAUCAAUCUACUGAUCUCAAGCCGAUUUCUGUUUGCACCAACUUGGCUAAUAACCUUUGAAGGUUCAUAAUAACUCAUUCUUCCUCGACCAUUAUAACCGAAGAAACCUCCUCCAUUCAUAUCCCAGUAAACAAAGUGCCCUCCAAGCAUAAAUUCUCAAACUAAUGAUAUUACCACAAUCCUCAUACUUGAUUUAAAUCCCUAGCCAAUCAAGUGACUAUACGUCACACUUAUACAAUCUUCCUAUGGACACGCCCCCAAAAUCUUCUCAAUAAAUAAUAGGUCCGCUCAUCCAAACCAUCGGACGCACUAAUGUUGAAAAGAGAUCCAGAAUCCUUAACCAAGAUGCAAAGCCUUUCUCACAAAACACCGAUCUCAGGUGACACUACAGACAAUACCAAUUUACUCAAAACAUGAAAACUCCCUUCCUGCUCAUCCGAGCUCAUGACAUCAUAACCAUUACCAAACUGCACCCUUAGUACUUACUUCAAAUUCCAUACCACUCAUUGCACCUCACGUGUCGAUAUACAAUAGAUAUGAUUUCCAUCACAACUCUGGAAACAUUGAUAGACUAACACUUCAUCGUAUAAAAUUUUUCAUUUAACCCACUUCGGGAGAACUAUAGCAACAUACAGGCGAAUACUCAUAACCAUUGAAUAUGCCAAUCUCUAAGUAGUGGUCCAAGCCACCAUAACCGUUCCGGGAUCCGCCUACUCAUAACAUGCUAUUACAGAAAAAUGCUUCUGAAUAUCAUCAAUCACUGCGGCCGACAAGCAUCACACGGACCGCAACACUUCACAUGCAUGACUUGAUCACGCUGGAUGAACUGAUCACCACAACCAAUAUGCCAAGUUAACCAUGAUCUAAUCAAUCCACUUCCUUCCACUAAAUCCUUGAUUGCAUUAGAAAUAAUACUUCUUUAUUCAACACAUAACAUACUCCAUCUGCACUUAUCCUGAGUGACCUUGAAACACGAGACUAUGUUGUCUCGAAUCCCAUGAACCAUUUCGUAUUUCUCAAUGCUACCCGUAAGUAAAAAUAUCAUAGAACAUUCUGGGCACCUUCUCAUAAGCUGCUAUAAAGCUAGAUUCUUAACUUUACCCAUAGGCUCAAGAUUAUCGAGCCCCACACUUAUUCUCCUGAAUUCACUAGGAUCAUUAUUGAGAGUCACCCGCUCCGUCUUGGUCCCAAAUAUAACUCACUCCAUAGAACUUAUAACACACAAACACUCUCUCCGUGAAGCACUCGAUGAAAUCACUUCCUAUGAAACCUGCAUCUAUACGAAGCAUAAAUCCUGAAUAUUUUUCAAAUUCCGAACAUGAGCCAAUAAGUCCAACCAUUGCAUGCCACAAAAAAUUCAUUUGCUCGAAUUACCACUUAUGGUCUUUUCUCAUAGCUGAAAUAACCCAUCAAUNNNNNNNNNNNNNNNNNNNNNNNNNNNNNNNNNNNNNNNNNNNNNNNNNNNNNNNNNNNNNNNNNNNNNNNNNNNNNNNNNNNUUUUCUCAUAGCUGAAAUAACGCAUCAAUAUGCUAAUAACAAGAAAUCACGCAAGUAGCUAAUCAUAGAGCCCAAUCAUAAGUGGUGGGACUCUCCCACUCAGCUUGAAGCCAUCAAUUCAUAAUUCCUGAGUUUGCCUAACCUCUUUACCUCUUAGGAACGUAACCUCGCACCAUAAAUUAUCAAAAUUUCUUGGAAUCUUUCUGUAAAUCCCCAUCUUUCAUAUUCUGAAUCAUCAUCCACAUUUGCAUAACCGAUCUCUUUGUUGUACGAUCAUAUAAUUCUUUGCAGAAGCUUUACCAACCACACGACCGCUAACCUGCUAAUGGGGAAUAACCCACCUAGAGAAAUCACCUCCUGACAUAUUCCAACAUCGCUGCACAGGGUACAUUUGCUAUGACACCAAUAGCCCAUUCUUCACAUCAUAUCUGCAGGCUUCAAUCACAAAUCCUUAAAAUCCACAAUUCGAUCGGAACUCUUCUUAAGGCGCGUAGUCUUCCUACUACCAAGCUCGUAUGCAUCACCUGCCACUCUUCCACUUUGGCGGAACUCAUUUCCUUAAUCGGUCACUCGACCUUGCUUCUCAUAAUUGGCUUUUUAGAAAUUUAAACGACGUCUGACACUUCCCACAUGUCUUUCCUCAUGCUCUGUAGCUCACUUGUUGCUUUAAACAAAAUCUAUCUUGGCGACACUUGAAUCCACCAUUCCUGCUAACUUUAGAACCUUUCCAAAAGAAAUCCUUAUCGAUCCAUAAACAUUAGCAAUUCCUAUUCGAUCUUAAACUACCGCACCAUGCGAUAUCUGACAGUUGUAUCUCCAAUACUAUUUCACAAUAUCCUGCUGUAAGGCGAAUUGUAGUGGAUCAUAAUAUCGGCAAACUUCGUAUGUUUCAUUCGGGACACAACACCCCAUCAUAAUAGAAAGCUCAACCAUGCUUGUAAAUAUCGGUCUCAUUACUUCCACCAACCCAAAUCUAACCAUCCUUAGUCCGACUGCCUUUCCUCUUGCCGGGAAUAAAAUAUUGAAUCCCUUGAUUACAUGCCAAGUAAACUUCCCUUCAAUUCAUCCACUGCCCCGACAUGUGGGCAAAUAUCCUACCAUCACAACCACACUGUGGUAUAAUAGCUUCUAAGCAUCAUGGCAAAAUGUGCCUAGCCUCAAGGCCCUCAAAGUACCGCUACUGAGCCAAAAAAAUAUGAUAUCCUUCCAAACGACUAUAACAGUCCAAUCAACUAUACCGGGAGAAACAUCCCGCACCACAUCUGUAGUGCCAUUGCAAUUCUUCAAAUUUUUGAUUUCUAGCAAGCGCUCGCGUCGCGUAAGACUGAGUAGGAAGGAAUCAAAGGCAUAAGCCUCAAAUAAAUCAGACCGCACGAUAAAGAAAUCAAGAAGGGAAGUACUCCUAACAUCCCUGUAGCAUCCCGAGGAAAAGUACAGACGUCUCUGUACCAAUCCGCGAGACUCUACUAGACUUGCUCAUGACUCAUAAAAUCGACGGGAACCUAGUGCUCUGAUACCAUGUAGUCACGACCCAAAAUCUACUACGGGUCAUGGUGGCGCCGGACCCUGCUGUCAGGCCAGCCAACUCAAAUGCUGAAAUAAAUCUCGUUUUAUCACUUUUGAAAAUACAGGAUAUUUCUUCAUUAUUUAGAAAUUUUUUAAAGAAUAAAGUUUCAAAUCAAAUUUAAAAGUUAAGGAAUAAUACAACACUUAAACCAUCAUAGAACCCGGUGUCACAAGUACAUGAGCAAUUUUCUAAAGGAAACCAAAUAGGUACAACAACUAUCCAUAAUACAAUUGGACAGAAGGUAAAUAAAAUUCUGAAAGAGACUAUACUAGCUGCGGAAUCGCCUCAAAGAAAUACAGCUCACCUAGUCUUUGCGCCCAUCAUGCUGCUAAGCCAUGAGCCACACAAUAAACCUGUGCAACAAAAUGUACAGCAAGCGUAGUAUGAGUACAAAAACAACGUGUACCCAAUGAGUGUCCCGCCUAAUCCCGAAGGGGUAGUGACAAGAUGGUCAACUCUGACACUCACUAGCAGUCCAACGACUAUUUAUCAUUAAUAAAUAUAUUCAAACAAUAGAAUUGUUUUAUAAACUUGAUUCUAAUCUAGAUAUGGGAAAACAAGUACUCAUAUAAUUCUUUCAUGAAAAAUUUCCCUAGAUUUCUCGUUAUUAUAAACAAAAUGAUCUCGAGCCAUAAUGUGACAUAAAACAACUCAAAUGAGUUCAAGACAACAGUACAAACAUGCGCAAAUCAUGCCGAAGUAGACGGCCCGCUCCAACAGAAAUGUAAAGUGUGCACUGCCGAGCGUCGAGCGGCAUGUACCAUAGAUGCAUCUAUUUCACCGAGGAAAUAAGCUCGUUCAAAAAAUAAACACAUACCCUGCUCGCGAAUCAUGCAUGCGACGCAGGUACAGAUAAGAAUACAUGCUCAAUCAGUCAAAUAAGAGACUAUCUGAAAUAUUUAUUCAAAUAAAACCAAUUCUCCUUUAACUAAAUAUUUUUAAGAAAUGACUUUAAAUCCCUUUGAAAUUCGUUUACUAAUUUAAUGUGAUUUAGGCAAUUCAAGCCGUCAAUUGGGUUCACAAUUUUAUUCAAGUAUGACAUGCUUUUGGGUCCUAGACUACCCGAACAAUAGCAUAUUAGUAGCUACGCAUGGACUCUCGUCACCUCGUGCGUACGUAGCCCCCACAAAUAGGUUCACAUAAUUAAUUAAACUUACCUAUGGGGUAAUUUCCCCUUACAAGAUUAGAAAGGAGACUCACCUCGCCCGAACAUCCAUAACCGCCCCUCUACAUCCUUCCGAAAGAUCGAACCACCGCGAAAAUGCUCCAAAACUAGCCAAUGGUCAUUCAAACCCAUUAAUAUAUGCCUAAUUAGAUUCUACAACUCAAUAUCUAUAAAUUCUUAACUCCGAACGAAAAGUUGACAAAAAUGCCCUCGGGCCCAUGUGCCCAUAAUCUGAAAUUUUUCGAAAUUAAACUUUGCACGUGAUCUUAGGAACUCAAAUAUAUAAUUUUCUCUUAAUUUCCUACUCAAAAUUGUGGUCAAAAUCCAAGAAUAUAAUUUUCUAGGUUUUCCACCAAAACCUCAAUUGUUAUACUAAUUUUCAUGCCCAAAUCCACACAAAAUUGAUGUAUUUAACUCAUAAUAGGUGGGGUAACAUACCUUAUCAUUGAUGACAAAAAAAUAUCUUCUUGAAGCUCUCCAAAAUCGCCCCCAAGCCAAGAAAAUGUGAGAGAAAUGAGCCAAAAUUCGACUUUUACAACAACCCCUCUGCCCCAGCUCUUUUCGCUUUUGCGGAAUUAUUUCCACCUAUGAGGUUCUGCUUUUGCAGUAAAAAAUGCCACUUCUGCGGUCCCGGACUCCAUCCCCUCUUCCACUUCUACAACUCGCCAACCGUAGGUGCGGUUCCGCUUAUGCGGCUACCCGACCGCAUAUGUGGUCCCCUUCCCUAUUUGCCAAAAUCACUUCUGCGGUCCAAAUUUUGCCUUUACGAUGCCACUUCUAUGGUCCCAUUUCCAUAGAAGCAGAAAUACCAGAUACCAUCUCCCAAGCUUUUCCAAAAAUCCAACUUUCGAUCCAUUAACCACCCGGAAUCCAUCCGAGGCCCCCGGGAGCCCAACCAAUCAUACCAACCAGUCCCAAAACACGUUACCGACUUGCUCGAGGCCUCAAAUCACAUCAAACAACAUCGAAAUCAUGAUCACACUCCAAUUCAAGCUUUAUGAACUUUGAAAUUUUAAACUUCUACAUUCGAUGCCAAACCCAUCAAAUCACAUGCGAUUGACCUCAAAUUUUGCACUCAAGUGAUAUUAAACAUUACGGACCUAUUCCAACUUCCAGGAUUGGAUUCCAACCCCAAUACCAAAAAGUCCACAUCCGGUCAAACUUCAAAAAAACCUUUAAAUUUCUAUCUUUAGCCAAAUGGCUUCAAAAUGACCUACGGACCUCCGAAUUCACUUUCGAUCGCGCUCCCAACUCCAGAAUUACCAUACGGAUCUACUCCCAGUAUCGGAAUCCCAAACUCACAUCAAUAAAACUGAAACACACUUUAAGCAAAACAUAAGGAAUUUCUUCCAAAAUACUAACUUCCACAAUAGGCGCCAAAAUGCUCCUGGUUAUCCAAAACCCUUGCCAGGCAUACGCCCAAGUCCGAUAUCAUUAUAUGAACCUACUGGAACCUUCAGAUCCCGAUUCCGAGGUUGUUUACUCAAAAUUCUAAUCCUAGUUCAUUCUUUCAACUUUAAACUUCUGGAAUGAGAAUGUGCAAUUAAAUUAAAUUUCGAUCUUUCUGAAUUUGAAUUCCGACCAUGCGAACAAUUCACAAUACCUGAAAUGAAGUUGCUCAUGGACUCAGACUGCUGAACGACACGCUAAGGCUCAAACGACCGAUCGGGUCUUUACACUAAUGUUGACCUAAUUUUUCUUGUAUUUUUGUAUUAUAGUCCCUUCUAGAAACUUCCUAAACAAACACGUGUGAUUCUCUGAUUUUCAAAAUUCCUUUGACCCCUUUUACUUCAGCUAAUUACAUAUGUACCACUAAGAAAACGGAUCGAGAAAAAUCCCAAUCGAAUAACCAAAUGCAAAAAUAUCAACAAUUAAAAAAUAAAUCCUAAUUCAAAGGUAUGACUACCCAUUCUUGAUUAAUUAACCUACAAUUAACUAUCAUGAUGUUAAACCAUCAUUCUAAACGUGCAAAAUGUAUAAUCAAAUAAAAUAAUUAGUCAAAUGUCUAAUUAAACUGAACUUAAAAUAUAGAAGAAACGCCAAAAAACAAGGAUCAAUUGGAGUUUAAAAUAGAGGCACAAUAAUUUUAAAUGAAUAGAAAAAGGUCAUGAAAUUACCACUGAGGCCAAAUAGGUAUUGGUCGAGAGAAAAGUUAGUAAACGGCCAACUCUAAUGUUUUUGAAACGAGGCAAAAUUAACAUCCUUCGAAUCAAACAAUGAAAAUAUUGGGCGAGUCAAGUCUUGGAUAUCUUGAAAAAUCUAAAGAAAGAACCUAUGAUUUCUGGUCGUUUUUAAGAUAUGAAAUUUGUGGGGUUUGGGUGGUUUUCUUGGGAAAUUAAUAAGGGGUAAGGAUUUAGAAAGUUUUGGGGAUUAUGUGAUAUAACUUUGGGGUGGUUUGUAGGUGGGCCUCUAGGGUUCUAGGUUUUUGGAGAGGGCCUGUUAUGAGAGGUGGGGGAAUAGAGGGGCGACUUGGAUUUUGUAAGAAAGAGGGGGAAGAGAGUUAUCUUUAGUGAAG